GCCUGAGGUAAAUAUCCCAUCUCCCUGAACUGUCCAACUGAAGUUGCACCUUCACGUUUCGAUAGUUUUCUUUUAUCUGGGGCAAGAAUAAGAGACACGUGUGCAAAUUGGGGCAUCGAAAAUCCUAGUGCUUUGUAUAUGAGUACUUGUCGCAAGGUGUUUGGUAAAUGUUCUUCAGCUCUGAUUACAUGUGAGAUACGCAUGGUCGCAU
rnacentral:misc_RNA from 1 species